rnacentral:rRNA from 1 species
AGAGUUUGAUUCUGGCUCAGAUUGAACGCUGGCGGAAUGCUUUACACAUGCAAGUCGAACGGCAGCACGGGAGCUUGCUCCUGGUGGCGAGUGGCGAACGGGUGAGUAAUGCGUCGGAACGUACCGAGUAAUGGGGGAUAACGCAGCGAAAGCUGUGCUAAUACCGCAUACGCCCUGAGGGGGAAAGUGGGGGAUCGCAAGACCUCACGUUAUUCGAGCGGCCGACGUCUGAUUAGCUAGUUGGUGGGGUAAUGGCCUACCAAGGCGACGAUCAGUAGCGGGUCUGAGAGGAUGAUCCGCCACACUGGGACUGAGACACGGCCCAGACUCCUACGGGAGGCAGCAGUGGGGAAUUUUGGACAAUGGGGGCAACCCUGAUCCAGCCAUUCCGCGUGAGUGAAGAAGGCCUUCGGAUUGUAAAGCACUUUAAGUUGGGAGGAAGGGCAGUAAAUUAAUACUUUGCUGUUUUGACGUUACCGACAGAAUAAGCACCGGCUAACUCUGUGCCAGCAGCCGCGGUAAUACAGAGGGUGCAAGCGUUAAUCGGAAUUACUGGGCGUAAAGCGCGCGUAGGUGGUUAGUUAAGUUGGAUGUGAAAUCCCCGGGCUCAACCUGGGAACUGCAUUCAAAACUGACUGACUAGAGUAUGGUAGAGGGUGGGUGGAAUUUCCUGUGUAGCGGUGAAAUGCGUAGAUAUAGGAAGGAACACCAAUGGCGAAGGCAGCCCCCUGGGAUGACACUGACGCUCAUGUACGAAAGCGUGGGUAGCAAACAGGAUUAGAUACCCUGGUAGUCCACGCCCUAAACGAUGUCAACUGGUUGUUGGGGGAGUGAAAUCCCUUAGUAACGAAGCUAACGCGUGAAGUUGACCGCCUGGGGGAGUACGGUCGCAAGAUUAGAACUCAAAUGAAUUGACGG